rnacentral:lncRNA from 1 species
GAGAGCCGCUUCUCAAGCAGGGGACAUCAGGGAGCAGAGAGCAGACGCACUCGACGCACGGAGGUUGAUCGAUUGGUCGAUUCAUUCAUCUGUUGAUUGUCUCGAACAUCGAAUUAUUUUAUUGGCUAAUUGUUAUUGAUGAACUCAUCACGCUUAAGUCACUUUUUUUGUGGACUGGGUGGAACCCAAGCACUUUGCUGAGAGGUGUUGAAAGUGCAAAAUUACGUCGAAGAAAAGGUGUAUAGUUAGGAUUGCCGGCAAGAGAUCUUUAAAACCUUUACUGACAGAGCUGCGCUAUUUCUCUCCCGGUUUUCUCAGCAGUAGGAAAUGCAGGAAGAAAACGUUCGGGUGUCUUGGGAGCCAGCCAGAGUCCCAUCCCUCCCCUCUCUCUCCGCGGCGCAGUGCCGAUACCCGCCUGCUGAAUACAACAGGAGUCCGUGCCGGUCUAAUGAUGAGGCCCAUUAGCUGGAUUGCAAUCUGUCACUCGGGGUGUCGUAGCUGCGGUAUCCUGGGGUCACCUCCCCAUGCAUCACGGCUGCCUCCACAGUUCAUUAUUGUGUCGGGAAAUGAACACCACGCCAUGGUUUUUCAAUUAUUAAUAUUGGCUGCAAAUCUAUAUUGCAAUCAUGCGCACAUUUCAGACAGAAAACUGUUAGGGAGGCAUUCAUCAAGGGGAGGAGAGGGUGCCUGGUACAGACCGCAGGGAUGCACGCAGACGUGCUGUGGAAUUACUAAUGCCUGCCAGCCCAGGCUGCCCUCGGAAGCUCAGAUCAGCAACACCGCAUCUGAGUGGAAGCGCCACACUAAUGACGGAGAGAAACAGCACACGGAUAUCGCUUCCAGACUCCACCUGGCAAACCAGCACUGA